UACGUAGGGCGCAAGCGUUAUCCGGAAUUAUUGGGCGUAAAGAGCUCGUAGGCGGUUUGUCGCGUCUGCCGUGAAAGUCCGGGGCUCAACUCCGGAUCUGCGGUGGGUACGGGCAGACUAGAGUGAUGUAGGGGAGACUGGAAUUCCUGGUGUAGCGGUGAAUGCGCAGAUAUCAGGAGGAACACCGGUGGCGAAGGCGGGUCUCUGGGCAACAACUGACGCUGAGGAGCGAAAGCGUGGGGAGCGAACAGG
rnacentral:rRNA from 1 species